GACGAACGCUGGCGGCGUGCUUAACACAUGCAAGUCGAACGGUGAUGCUCCAGCUUGCUGGAGUGGAUCAGUGGCGAACGGGUGAGUAACACGUGAGCAACCUGCCCCAGACUCUGGAAUAAGCGCUGGAAACGGCGUCUAAUACUGGAUACGAAACUGGCCCGCAUGGGCAUGGUUUGGAAAGUUUUUCGGUUUGGGAUGGGCUCGCGGCCUAUCAGCUUGUUGGUGAGGUAAUAGCUCACCAAGGCGACGACGGGUAGCCGGCCUGAGAGGGCGACCGGCCACACUGGGACUGAGACACGGCCCAGACUCCUACGGGAGGCAGCAGUGGGGAAUAUUGCACAAUGGGCGAAAGCCUGAUGCAGCGACGCCGCGUGAGGGAUGACGGCCUUCGGGUUGUAAACCUCUUUCAGCAGGGAAGAAGCGAAAGUGACGGUACCUGCAGAAGAAGCACCGGCUAACUACGUG
rnacentral:rRNA from 1 species